rnacentral:rRNA from 1 species
AUGAGAGCUUUAUGCUGGAAUUGUCGUGGGAUUGGCGACCCUGCGACAGUCCAUGAGCUCCGCUAUCUCGUGGGGGCUAGUGCGCCAUCGGUUUGCAUUGUGGAGACUCAAUUAGCAAAAAAUCGAGUGGAAGGCUUGGCGGCCUCUUUAGGUUUUCAAAACAGCUUUGCAGUAUCUAGUAGUGGUUGUAGUGGUGGUCUUUGUAUUUUCUGG